CUGUAAUGUUAGACGUGUUGAGGCCGUCCUCGCAUAAAUACAAGGAUUUACUUUACAAAGAAAGAAGACGGCUAAAGCGGGUGUAUGCGAGCUUGAAGACAUCGAAGAUGAUAAAGCUAGUGACAUAUACACGACGGAGGGUAUUGGUGCAAACAUCGUCAGUAAACCGUUCAAACAGCGCGCAGGGCGAACAGUCAAACUGGGUCAGUCACAAAAUAACUAUGAUGUCAUAAAGUCUGAUGUUGACGGAGAAUUGGGUUAUAUGGCCGGGCAGGCGCCUGACAUGCCGCUAAACUUGACAGAGGAUGUGUUACAGUAUUAUUACCAGCAACCUGUGAACAAAGACAGGCGUAUCGCAAGGUGGCUUGUGGACAUUAAAGGAAAGUCUCAGAAUCAGCUCCCUGCACACUUGCCAGAUAUAAGUGCUUCUAACAGGAACGUGACUUUAACACUGGACGAAGUUUGAUUGAGAGAAUUUCGCACAAGUGCUCUGUUUCUCUGAAUAAUUCAAAUGCACAUUUGUCAUGGUAUAUUUUAGAACGGCAAUUGUUGCCAUCAUUUUUACGCAUGUUAAGUUUAAGUAUAUGGUACAGAACGUACACUACUCUACAUUAAGAUAACUAAAAUAAUAGGUGAGGUUUAGUGGCACUAAUCCACACUAGAAAACCUCAAUGUUAUACACAUUGGACAGCGUUUAUUUGUUUUCUUUAAGGUUUAUACAACUGUUGGUCAAAAUCUGCUAAAACGUAAACAUGUAUGAAAAUGUCCAAUACAUCCUGUAUUGUAUUCUGAUAUUCAAGAAAGACAUUACUAUGCAUGAAUAAAACCUAAAAUACUG